rnacentral:rRNA from 1 species
UACAGAGGGUGCUAGCGUUAAUCGGAAUUACUGGGCGUAAAGCGCGCGUAGGCGGCUUUGCAAGUCGGGUGUGAAAUCCCCAGGCUUAACCUGGGGACUGCAUUCGAGACUGCAUUGCUAGAGUAUGGGAGAGGGAAGUGGAAUUUCCGGUGUAGCGGUGAAAUGCGUAGAUAUCGGAAGGAACAUCAGUGGCGAAAGCGACUUCCUGGACCAAUACUGACGCUCAUGUGCGAAAGCGUGGGGAGCAAACAGG